rnacentral:rRNA from 1 species
UACGAGGGGGGCGAGCGUUGUUCGGAAUUAUUGGGCGUAAAGGGUGCGUAGGCGGCCUGACAAGUCUGAUGUGAAAUCCCUGGGCUCAACCCAGGGCCUGCAUCGGAAACUGUCGGGCUUGAGUAUGGGAGAGGUGAGUGGAAUUUCCGGUGUAGCGGUGAAAUGCGUAGAUAUCGGAAGGAACACCCAUGGCGAAGGCAGCUCGCUGGCCUAUAACUGACGCUGAGGCGCGAAAGCGUGGGGAGCAAACAGG